rnacentral:rRNA from 1 species
UACGGAGGGUGCGAGCGUUGUCCGGAAUCACUGGGCGUAAAGGGCGCGUAGGCGGCAUGCCAAGCGUGUGGUGAAAGCCCGGGGCUCAACCCCGGGUCGGCCGUGCGGACUGGCGUGCUCGAGCACUGUAGGGGCGGGUGGAAUUCCGGGUGUAGCGGUGGAAUGCGUAGAGAUCCGGAAGAACACCGGUGGCGAAGGCGGCCCGCUGGGCAGGAAGACACCGCAAGGUGUCGGCUGACGCUGAGGCGCGACAGCGUGGGGAGCAAACAGGAUUAGAACCC